rnacentral:rRNA from 1 species
AGUGAACGCUGGCGGCGUGCCUAAUACAUGCAAGUCGAACGGAGUGGCGCACGGGUGAGUAAUAUAUAGCUAAUCUGCCCCUUGCUGGAGGAUAACAGUUAGAAAUGACUGCUAAUACUCCAUAGCAAGGGAUGAGACUAUAUCGUAUCAGCUAGUCGGUGGGGUAACGGCCUACCUAGGCAAUGACGCGUAACUGGUCUGAGAGGAUGAUCAGUCGCGUUGGAACUGAGGCACGGUCCAGACUCCUACGGGAGUCGGCAAUAGGGAGUAUUGCACAAUGAGGGAAACCGUGACGCAGCAACGCCGCGUGGAGGAUGACACUUUUCGGAGCGUAAACUCCUUUUGUUAGGGUAGCGGUACCUAACGAAUAAGCCCCGGCUAACUCCGUGCCAGCAGCCGCGGUAAUUC